CAGUGGUCGCUGAGUUAGAGCUUAACAGCGUAAAGAAGAAACCACCGCCGGACAUGAUCGAAGAGG
rnacentral:sRNA from 1 species